GCAAGUCGAACGAAGUAGUAAUACUUAGUGGCAGACAGGUGAGUAACAUGUAGGUAUCUUCCCUUUGGUGAGGAAUAACACGAGGAAACUUGUGCUAAUACCUCAUAAGUCUUUACGGAGAAAGCUUUAUGCGCCGAAGGAUGAGCCUGCAUUUGAUUAGUUUGUUGGUGGGGUAAUGGCCUACCAAGACUUUGAUCAAUAGCUGAUCUGAGAGGAUGAUCAGCCACAUUGGGACUGAGACACGGCCCAAACUCCUACGGGAGGCAGCAGUAGGGAAUAUUGCACAAUGGAGGAAACUCUGAUGCAGCGAUGCCGCGUGAGUGAAGAAGGCCCCUGGGUUGUAAAGCUCUUUCGUCGGGGAAGAAAAUGACUGUACCCGAAUAAGAAGGUCCGGCUAACUUCGUGCCAGCAGCCGCGGUAAUACGAAGGGACCUAGCGUAGUUCGGAAUUACUGGGCUUAAAGAGUUCGUAGGUGGUUAAAAAAGUUGGUGGUGAAAUCCCAGAGCUUAACUCUGGAACUGCCAUCAAAACUUUUUAGCUAGAGUAUGAUAGAGGAAAGCAGAAUUUCUAGUGUAGAGGUGAAAUUCGUAGAUAUUAGAAAGAAUACCGAUUGCGAAGGCAGCUUUCUGGAUCAUUACUGACGCUGAGGAACGAAAGCAUGGGUAGCGAAGAGGAUUAGAUACCCUCGUAGUCCAUGCCGUAAACGAUGUGUGUUAGACGUUGGAAAUUUAUUUUCAGUGUCGCAGCGAAAGCAUUAAACACACCGCCUGGGGAGUACGACCGCAAGGUUAAAACUCAAAUGAAUUGACGGGGACCCGCACAAGUAGUGGAGCAUGUGGUUUAAUUCGAAGAUACGCGCAGAACCUUACCAACACUUGACAUGUUCGUCGCGACUUUAAGAGAUUAA
rnacentral:rRNA from 1 species